UCACUCUUCGAGCCCUCGGCUUGGUGUUGGACGGUUUGGUUUUGGUGACAAGACCCCUCCUAAAAUCAAUGACGACGGCCUGUUCGACCCCCGGUACACAGAGCUUCUUAACUGAGCACGUAUCGGUCUAGGGUAGACAGGACCCGGUCUUCUUCUUUAACCGGAAACUCUUUCCAA
rnacentral:misc_RNA from 1 species